CUUGUAUGUCCUCCUGAUAUUGUGUUUGCUGUGUUGUCGCCUAUGAAAGACACUUCUGGGUAGCAUAUUGUUGAUCUACCGAAGGUCUUGGCUGGAAUACGCUGUGUGCGCAUUGUCAUCACCUCUUGGAAUACGAGUUGAGGUUCGUAUGUGGGGGAAGUAACCAGGGAGUCCCAUUUCCAUUUAUGUUGGGUGUUGUAUUCCUAGAGAAUGAUUGUCACUGCUGCUUUGCCUCCUGUAGUUUUAAUGUAAUUGUAGCUUUUGCCUUAGUUCGUUUUCUUUAUUUUUGUUAUUUUGUUUGCCCAUUUGAGCUGGCCUAAACAUAAGCGUGGUUGGUUCUCUUGUUAGUUUUUUUUGUGGGCCGUAACUGGAGUACUAUUGGCUGCCCUAGUAGGUUUAAUAGUAAUAUCAAUUUUCCUUCUCCUCUUUGGGGAAGUAGAGUGUUGAAGCUAGUUUGUGGAGUAGGCUGCCAGAUUUGAGUCCUCUUUUUAUAUCGUGUUGCACACAGUAUUUGCAGUGGUAACGUGCACCUCACUAUUUGCAGUGAUUGCUCUUGUAGUGUCUGUGCCUAUGAGUGUGUGUGUGAGUAUGUCUGUGUGAAAAGGCAACAGAAUCAGCUGCACGGGUGGUGUGUUGGUCUCAUUCCUCUUCUAGGACAGGCAACCUCUCCCCAAACAGCCGAACCAUCGAAACAUUCAUUGUUUGUAUUUUUGAUAUUUCAGGUGGCAGCCACUAUCUCCCUCUAGCUGGUCUAGGGUGUCUAAUCUGUAUCGUCCCAUAUUAUUCUGAGAAACAAGCCCCAGACUGUUGUUGUAUUGAAUUACCUGUUAAUAAAUAGUUGUAUUUUUAUUGAAA